AAAAAUAUCAUAUUCUCAUAAAAUAAAUACAGAUGCAAACAAAACAAUAAAAUAAAAUUUUUAAUAGAGACAACCGUCCUUUCCUUUUCCAGGGAAAGUUAAUCAGUUAGUUGU
rnacentral:rRNA from 12 species